UACAGAGGUCCCAAGCGUUGUUCGGAUUCACUGUGCGUAAAGGGUGCGUAGGUGGUGAGUUAAGUCGGAUGUGAAAUCUCCGAGCUCAACUCGGAAAUGGCAUUGGAAACUACCUUGCUUGAGGGUUGGAGGGGGGACUGGAAUACUUGGUGUAGCAGUGAAAUGCGUAGAUAUCAAGUGGAACACCAGUGGCGAAGGCGAGUCCCUGGACAACUCCUGACACUGAGGCACGAAAGCUAGGGGAGCAAACAGG
rnacentral:rRNA from 1 species